UACGUAGGGUGCAAGCGUUGUCCGGAAUUAUUGGGCGUAAAGAGCUCGUAGGCGGUCUGUCGCGUCCGCUGUGAAAACUCAGGGCUUAACCCUGAGCUUGCAGUGGGUACGGGCAGACUAGAGUGCGGUAGGGGAGACUGGAAUUCCUGGUGUAGCGGUGAAAUGCGCAGAUAUCAGGAGGAACACCGGUGGCGAAGGCGGGUCUCUGGGCCGAUACUGACGCUGAGGAGCGAAAGCGUGGGGAGCAAACAGG
rnacentral:rRNA from 1 species